rnacentral:lncRNA from 1 species
UCCGAUUUCUCAGUCUUUUCCCCAGCUUUCCCCCUUUUCUAUUCCACAAAACCGCCAUUGUCAUCAUGGCCCGUUCUCAAUGAGCUGUUGGGUACACCUCCCAGACGAGAUGGUGGCCGGGCAGAGGGGCUCCUCACUUCCCAGUAGGGGCGGCCGGGCAGAGGCGCCCCUCACCUCCUGGACGGGGCGGCUGGCUGGGUGGGGGGCUGACCCCCACCUCCCUCCCGGACGGGGCGGCUGGCCUGGCGGGGGCUGACCCCCACCUCCCUUCCGGACGGGGUGGCUGCCGGGCGGAGACGCUCCUCCCUUCCCAGAUGGGGUGGCAGCCAGGCGGAGAGGCUCCUCACUUCUCAGAUGGGGCGGUUGCCAGGCGCAGGGUCUCCUCACUUCUCAGACGGGGUGGCCGGGCAGAGACGCUCCUCACCUCCCAGACGGGGUCACGGCCGGGCCGAGGCGCUCCCCACAUCUCAGACGAUGGGCGGCCGGGCAGACACGCUCCUCACUUCCUAGAUGUGAUGGCGGCCGGGAAGAGGCGCUCCUCACUUCCUAGGAAUCCCCAGCUGCAGAACAGAUGAAGGCGACACCUGGCUUCUUCCUGGGAAUGGUUGCUGGCAAUGGGACACUCUCACUUUCAGCUGCCUCUGAGUUUGAAUGGUGACUCAUACCCCCUGUCUGAGCCCAGCUUCACUUUCACCCUCCUCCACCUGCCAAGCCCUACCUGUCCGAGACACCACGGAGUUCUCAUUUCCUUCCUCUUUCCACCAGUCUGAAGAAGAAAAUGGCCAAGAAUGAAGUCCUCAGGACAUUAAGAUGACGUAGAAAACACAAAAAGGAGAAAGACUUUGCUGUUAUUUACCCCACAUCAUUCCAUUAAAGUUUCUUGGAUCUCUUCUUCAUCCAUGUAGCAAUAACCCUGGGGGUGGGAACCAGCAAUCCAAGUCCUCCAAAUGAUUUGGCGGUUCUUCAAGGAUUAUCUGACUCCAUAAGGGUGGACAUUUAUGGUUGUCUUUCUAUUGACUAGGCUAUUUUAUAACCCUAUAAAGACGGAAGUUUAGUUACAGAAAAACUGACAAUUAUACAAAUUAUUCUUAUCCAUAGAUAUACAAAUGAAUUUUGUCUAGUAGAGAUACAUAGAGUUUUAGAAAAGAUAACCCCACUCCAAUUUAUAGUAUAUGAACCAGUUUUUUGUCCAUUGGCAAAUUCAGCAUUACUGGUUAUAUGUGUCUCUUUAAAUUUACUCUUAACUGGAUUUAACCAUUUUCUGGCUCCCUCAUUAAUUAAGGAGCUAAAUAAAUAAAAUCUACAACACAAGUUCAUUUUAUACUUGUAUGACAGCCAUAAUUUUACUUCUUUGAAAAUUAUACUUUCACAUAGCAAUUCUCAGAGUGAAGUCCCA